GGACGUUCAGCUCAGUCAGUAGAGCUUAGCGCUGACAAUGCUAAGGUCGCGGGUUCGAUUCCCGUUAGGUCCC
rnacentral:tRNA from 1 species